rnacentral:rRNA from 1 species
GAAUUACUGGGCGUAAAGCGUGCGCAGGUGGUUUUGUAAGACAGAUGUGAAAUCCCCGGGCUUAACCUGGGAACUGCGUUUGUGACUGCAAGACUCGAGUGCGGCAGAGGGGGGUGGAAUUCCACGUGUAGCAGUGAAAUGCGUAGAGAUGUGGAGGAACACCGAUGGCGAAGGCAGCCCCCUGGGUCGACACUGACGCUCAUGCACGAAAGCGUGGGUAGCAAACAGGAUUAGAUACCCUGGUAGUCCACGCCCUAAACGAUGCCAACUAGGUGUUGGAGAAGGAGACUUCUUUAGUACCGUAGCUAACGCGUGAAGUUGGCCGCCUGGGGAGUACGGUCGCAAGAUUAAAACUCAAAGGAAUUGACGGGGACCCGCACAAGCGGUGGAUGAUGUGGAUUAAUUCGAUGCAACGCGAAAAACCUUACUUACCCUUGACAUGCCAGGAACCCUGCAGAGAUGUGGGGGUGCUCGAAAGAGAGCCUGGACACAGGUGCUGCAUGGCUGUCGUCAGCUCGUGUCGUGAGAUGUUGGGUUAAGUCCCGCAACGAGCGCAACCCUUGUCAUUAGUUGCCAUCAUUCAGUUGGGCACUCUAAUGAGACUGCCGGUGACAAACCUGGAGGAAGCGUGGGGAUGACGUCAAGUCCUCAUGGCCCUUAUGGGUAGGGCUUCACACGUCAUACAAUGGUCGGUACAGAGGGUUGCCAAGCCGCGAGGUGGAGCCAAUCCCAGAAAGCCGAUCGUAGUCCGGAUCGGAGUCUGCAACUCGACUCCGUGAAGUCGGAAUCGCUAGUAAUCG